UCAAAAACAUGUCUUUUUGAUAAUAAUUUAAAGUCUAAUCUGCCCACUGAUAAAUUAUUAAAGGGCUGCAGUAUAUUGACUGUACAAAGGUAGCAUAAUCAUUUGUCUUUUAAUUGAAGACUUGUAUGAAAGAUUUGAUGAAAUAUAAACUGUCUCUAAUUUAUAAAUAAAAAUUAAUUUUUUAGUUAAAAAGCUAAAAUGUUAUUAAAAGACGAGAAGACCCUAUAAAGUUUUAUAAUUUAUUUAUUUAUUUUUAAUUGUAGGUGUAAAUAUUAUAAUUAAAAUAAAUUAUUUUAUUGGGGUGAUAGAAAAAUUAACUAAACUUUUUUUUUUAAGAAACAUUUAUAAGUGAGAAAUUGAUCCAUUAUUAGUGAUUAAAAGAAAAAAUUACUUUAGGGAUAACAGCGUAAUAUUUUUUUUUAGUACAGAUAAAAAAAAAAGUUUGCGACCUCGAUGUUGGAUUAAGAUAAAAUUUAAAUGCAAAAGUUUAAAAUUUUGAUCUGUUCGAUCAUUAAAAUCUUACAUGAUCUGAGCU
rnacentral:rRNA from 1 species